GACGGGGGCCCGCACAAGCGGAGGAACAUGUGGUUUAAUUCGAUGAUACGCGAGGAACCUUACCCGGGCUUGAACUGCAGGAGAACGAUCCAGAGAUGGUGAGGCCCUUCGGGGCUCCUGUGGAGGUGCUGCAUGGUUGUCGUCAGCUCGUGCCGUGAGGUGUCGGCUUAAGUGCCAUAACGAGCGCAACCCUUGUCCUCAGUUGCCAUCACUUCGGGUGGGCACUCUGUGGAUACUGCCACCGUAAGGUGUGAGGAAGGUGGGGAUGACGUCAAAUCAGCACGGCCCUUACGUCCGGGGCUACACACGUGUUACAAUGGCGCGUACAGAGGGUCGGCCUCCGGCAACGUCGGUCCAAUCCCUAAAACGCGUCCCAGUUCGGACUGGGGUCUGCAACCCGACCCCACGAAGCUGGAUUCGCUAGUAAUCGCGCAUCAGCCAUGGCGCGGUGAAUACGUUCCCGGGCCUUGUACACACCGCCCGUCAAGCCAUGAAAGCCGGGGGUGCCUGAAGUCCGUGACCGCAAGGAUCGGCCUAGGGCAAAACCGGUGAUUGGGGCUAAGUCGUAACAAGGUAGGCCGUACCGGAA
rnacentral:rRNA from 1 species